UCCUAGUGGUUUAGAGACUGAGAGGUAUAGAGACACACUGUCAAGGUGACAGGUAUCCUAGUGGUUUAGAGACUGAGAGGUAGAGAGACACACUGUCAAGGUGACAGGUAUCUUAGUGGUUUAGAGACUGAGAGGUACAGAGACACACUGUCAAGGUGACAGGUAUCCUAGUGGUUUAGAGACUGAGAGGUACAGAGACACACUGUCAAGGUGACAGGUAUCCUAGUGGUUUAGAGACAGAGGUACAGAGACACACUGUCAAGGUGACAGGUAUCCUAGUGGUUUAGAGACUGAGAGGUACAGAGACACACUGUCAAGGUGACAGGUAUCCUAGUGGUUUAGAGACUGAGAGGUACAGAGACACACUGUCAAGGUGACAGGUAUCCUAGUGGUUUAGAGACUGAGAGGUACAGAGACACACUGUCAAGGUGACAGGUAUCCUAGUGGUUUAGAGACUGAGAGGUACAGAGACACACUGUCAAGGUGACAGGUAUCCUAGUGGUUUAGAGACUGAGAGGUAUAGAGACACACUGUCAAGGUGACAGGUAUCCUAGUGGUUUAGAGACUGAGAGGUACAGAGACACACUGUCAAGGUGACAGGUAUCCUAGUGGUUUAGAGACUGAGAGGUAGAGAGACACACUGUCAAGGUGACAGGUAUCUUAGUGGUUUAGAGACUGAGAGGUAUAGAGACACACUGUCAAGGUGACAGGUAUCCUAGUGGUUUAGAGACUGAGAGGUACAGAGACACACUGUCAAGGUGACAGGUAUCCUAGUGGUUUAGAGACUGAGAGGUAUAGAGACACACUGUCAAGGUGACAGGUAUCUUAGUGGUUUAGAGACUGAGAGGUAGAGAGACACACUGUCAAGGUGACAGGUAUCCUAGUGGUUUAGAGACUGAGAGGUAGAGAGACACACUGUCAAGGUGACAGGUAUCUUAGUGGUUUAGAGACUGAGAGGUAUAGAGACACACUGUCAAGGUGACAGGUAUCCUAGUGGUUUAGAGACUGAGAGGUACAGAGACACACUGUCAAGGUGACAGGUAUCCUAGUGGUUUAGAGACUGAGAGGUAUAGAGACACACUGUCAAGGUGACAGGUAUCCUAGUGGUUUAGAGACUGAGAGGUAUAGAGACACACUGUCAAGGUGACAGGUAUCCUAGUGGUUUAGAGACUGAGAGGUACAGAGACACACUGUCAAGGUGACAGGUAUCCUAGUGGUUUAGAGACUGAGAGGUAGAGAGACACACUGUCAAGGUGACAGGUAUCCUAGUGGUUUAGAGACUGAGAGGUACAGAGACACACUGUCAAGGUGACAGGUAUCCUAGUGGUUUAGAGACUGAGAGGUAUAGAGACACACUGUCAAGGUGACAGGUAUCCUAGUGGUUUAGAGACUGAGAGGUAUAGAGACACACUGUCAAGGUGACAGGUAUCCUAGUGGUUUAGAGACUGAGAGGUAGAGAGACACACUGUCAAGGUGACAGGUAUCCUAGUGGUUUAGAGACUGAGAGGUACAGAGACACACUGUCAAGGUGACAGGUAUCUUAGUGGUUUAGAGACUGAGAGGUAUAGAGACACACUGUCAAGGUGACAGGUAUCCUAGUGGUUUAGAGACUGAGAGGUAUAGAGACACACUGUCAAGGUGACAGGUAUCUUAGUGGUUUAGAGACUGAGAGGUAGAGAGACACACUGUCAAGGUGACAGGUAUCUUAGUGGUUUAGAGACUGAGAGGUAUAGAGACACACUGUCAAGGUGACAGGUAUCCUAGUGGUUUAGAGACUGAGAGGUACAGAGACACACUGUCAAGGUGACAGGUAUCCUAGUGGU